AUUGAACGCUGGCGGCAGGCCUAACACAUGCAAGUCGAGCGGAUGAAGGGAGCUUGCUCCUGGAUUCAGCGGCGGACGGGUGAGUAAUGCCUAGGAAUCUGCCUGGUAGUGGGGGAUAACGUCCGGAAACGGGCGCUAAUACCGCAUACGUCCUGAGGUCGAAAGUGGGGGAUCUUCGGACCUCACGCUAUCAGAUGAGCCUAGGUCGGAUUAGCUAGUUGGUGUGGUAAAGGCAUACCAAGGCGACGAUCCGUAACUGGUCUGAGAGGAUGAUCAGUCACAAUGGAACUGAGACACGGUCCAGACUCAUACGGGAGGAAGCAGUGGGGAAUAUUGGACAAUGGGCGAAAGCCUGAUCCAGCAAUGCCGCGUGUGUGAAGAAGGUCUUCGGAUUGUAAAGCACGUUAAGUUGGGAGGAAGGGAAGUAAGUUAAUACCUUGCUGUUUUGACGUUACCAACAGAAUAAGCACCGGCUAACUUCGUG
rnacentral:rRNA from 1 species